GCGGCGUGCUAUACAUGCAAGUCGAACGGAGUAUUAAGAGAGCUUGCUCUUUUAAUACUUAGUGGCGCACGGGUGAGUAAUGUAUAGUUAAUCUGCCCUACACUGGAGGACAACAGUUAGAAAUGACUGCUAAUACUCCAUACUCCUUCUUAACAUAAGUUAAGUCGGGAAAGUUUUUCGGUGUAGGAUGAGACUAUAUUGUAUCAGCUAGUUGGUGAGGUAAUGGCUCACCAAGGCUUUGACGCAUAACUGGUCUGAGAGGAUGAUCAGUCACACUGGAACUGAGACACGGUCCAGACUCCUACGGGAGGCAGCAGUAGGGAAUAUUGCUCAAUGGGGGAAAACCUGAAACA
rnacentral:rRNA from 1 species